rnacentral:tRNA from 1 species
GGGGCUGUGGCGCAGUUGGUAGCGCGCCUCGUUCGCAUCGAGGAGGCCAGGAGUUCGAAUCUCCUCAGCUCCAC